rnacentral:rRNA from 1 species
AGGACGAACGCUGGCGGCAUGCCUAAUACAUGCAAGUCGAGCGGAAUGAUGAGAGCUUGCUCUCUGAUUUUAGCGGCGGACGGGUGAGUAACACGUGGGCAACCUGCCCUACAGAUGGGGAUAACUCCGGGAAACCGGGGCUAAUACCGAAUAAUCAGUUUGUCCGCAUGGACAAACUCUGAAAGACGGUUUCGGCUGUCACUGUAGGAUGGGCCCGCGGCGCAUUAGCUAGUUGGUGGGGUAAUGGCCUACCAAGGCGACGAUGCGUAGCCGACCUGAGAGGGUGAUCGGCCACGCUGGGACUGAGACACGGCCCAGACUCCUACGGGAGGCAGCAGUAGGGAAUCUUCCACAAUGGACGAAAGUCUGAUGGAGCAAUGCCGCGUGAGCGAAGAAGGUUUUCGGAUCGUAAAGCUCUGUUGUAAGGGAGAACACGUACGGGAGUAACUGCCCGUACCUUGACGGUACCUUAUUAGAAGCCACGGCUAACUACGUGCCAGCA